ensembl:snRNA U6 U6 spliceosomal RNA
GUGCUCGCUUGGGCAGCACAUAUACUAAAAUUGGAACGAUACAGAGAAGAUUAGCAUGGCUCCUAUGCAAGGAUGACACACAAAUUCGUGAAGCGUUCCAUAUUUUA